rnacentral:rRNA from 1 species
UACGUAGGUGGCAAGCGUUGUCCGGAUUUAUUGGGUUUAAAGGGUGCGUAGGCGGUUUUCUAAGGCAGCAGUGAAAUACGGCAGCUCAACUGUCGAGGUGCUGUUGAUACUGGGGAACUUGAGUACUGAUGAGGUAGGCGGAAUGGACGGUGUAGCGGUGAAAUGCUUAGAGAUCGUCCAGAACACCGAUAGCGAAGGCAGCUUACUAAGGAGUAACUGACGCUGAGGCACGAAAGUGUGGGGAUCAAACAGG